rnacentral:rRNA from 1 species
AUUGAACGCUGGCGGCAUGCCUAACACAUGCAAGUCGAACGGAAACGAUUAAGAGCUUGCUCUUAAGGCGUCGAGUGGCGGACGGGUGAGUAAUGCUUGGGAAUCUACCCUGUAGUGGGGGACACCCGGGGAAACCCGGCGUAUACCGCAUAGCCCCUUAGCUUGGCGCUAGGGGAAAGCGGGGGACCUUCGGGCCUCGCGCUAUUGGAUGAGCCCAAGUCGGAUUAGCUUGUUGGUAGGGUAAUGGCCUACCAAGGCACGAUCCGUAGCUGGUCUGAGAGGACGAUCAGCCACACUGGGACUGAGACACGGCCCAGACUCCUACGGGAGGCAGCAGUGGGGAAUAUUGGACAAUGGGGGCAACCCUGAUCCAGCAAUGCCGCGUGUGUGAAGAAGGCCUGCGGGUUGUAAAGCACUUUCAGUAGAGAAGAAAAGCCGAAGGUUAAUACCCUUUAGUCUUGACGUAACCUACAGAAGAAGCACCGGCUAACUCCGUG